GAUGAACGCUGGCGGCGUGCCUAAUACAUGCAAGUCGAGCGAACGGACGAGAAGCUUGCUUCUCUGAUGUUAGCGGCGGACGGGUGAGUAACACGUGGAUAACCUACCUAUAAGACUGGGAUAACUUCGGGAAACCGGAGCUAAUACCGGAUGAUAUUUUGAACCGCAUGGUUCAAAAGUGAAAGACGGUCUUGCUGUCACUUAUAGAUGGAUCCGCGCUGCACUAGCUAGUUGGUAAGGUAACGGCUUACCAAGGCAACGAUGCAUAGCCGACCUGAGAGGGUGAUCGGCCACACUGGAACUGAGACACGGUCCAGACUCCUACGGGAGGCAGCAGUAGGGAAUCUUCCGCAAUGGGCGAAAGCCUGACGGAGCAACGCCGCGUGAGUGAUGAAGGUCUUCGGAUCGUAAAACUCUGUUAUUAGGGAAGAACAUAUGUGUAAGUAGCUGUGCACAUCUUGACGGUACCUAAUCAGAAAGCCACGGCUAACUACGUG
rnacentral:rRNA from 1 species